rnacentral:rRNA from 1 species
AGUGAACGCUGGCGGUAGGCCUAACACAUGCAAGUCGAACGGCAGCACAGUAAGAGCUUGCUCUUACGGGUGGCGAGUGGCGGACGGGUGAGGAAUACAUCGGAAUCUACUUUUUCGUGGGGGAUAACGUAGGGAAACUUACGCUAAUACCGCAUACGACCUACGGGUGAAAGCAGGGGAUCUUCGGACCUUGCGCGAUUGAAUGAGCCGAUGUCGGAUUAGCUAGUUGGCGGGGUAAAGGCCCACAAAGGCGACGAUCCGUAGCUGGUCUGAGAGGAUGAUCAGCCACACUGGAACUGAGACACGGUCCAGACUCCUACGGGAGGCAGCAGUGGGGAAUAUUGGACAAUGGGCGCAAGCCUGAUCCAGCCAUACCGCGUGGGUGAAGAAGGCCUUCGGGUUGUAAAGCCCUUUUGUUGGGAAAGAAAAGCAGCAGGUUAAUACCCCGCUGUUCUGACGGUACCCAAAGAAUAAGCACCGGCUAACUUCGC